UACGUAGGUGGCUAGCGUUGUCCGGAUUUACUGGGCGUAAAGAGCGCGCAGGCGGUCGUUUAAGUCGAGUGUGAAAGCCCCCGGCUCAACUGGGGAGGGUCACUCGAUACUGAUCGACUCGAAGGCAGGAGAGGGUAGUGGAAUUCCCGGUGUAGUGGUGGAAUGCGUAGAGAUCGGGAAGAACAUCAGUGGCGAAGGCGGUCUGCUGGGCCGUUGCUGACGCUGAGGCGCGACAGCGUGGGGAGCAAACAGG
rnacentral:rRNA from 1 species